UCCGGCGUGGUCGAGUGGCUAGGAUGUCUGGCUUUCACCCAGAAGUCCCGGAUUCGAUUCCCGGCGUCGGAA